rnacentral:rRNA from 1 species
GACGAACGCUGGCGGCGUGCCUAAUACAUGCAAGUAGAACGCUGAAGGAGGAGCUUGCUUCUCUGGAUGAGUUGCGAACGGGUGAGUAACGCGUAGGUAACCUGCCUGGUAGCGGGGGAUAACUAUUGGAAACGAUAGCUAAUACCGCAUAAUAGUAGAUGUUGCAUGACAUUUGCUUAAAAGGUGCAAUUGCAUCACUACCAGAUGGACCUGCGUUGUAUUAGCUAGUUGGUGGGGUAACGGCUCACCAAGGCGACGAUACAUAGCCGACCUGAGAGGGGGAUCGGCCACACUGGGACUGAGACACGGCCCAGACUCCUACGGGAGGCAGCAGUAGGGAAUCUUCGGCAAUGGACGGAAGUCUGACCGAGCAACGCCGCGUGAGUGAAGAAGGUUUUCGGAUCGUAAAGCUCUGUUGUAAGAGAAGAACGAGUGUGAGAGUGGAAAGUUCACACUGUGACGGUAGCUUACCAGAAAGAGACGGCUAACUACGUG